GUACACACCGCCCGUCGCUACUACCGAUUGAAUGGCUCAGUGAGGCCUUCGGACUGGCUUGGGGAGGUUGGCAACGACCACCCCGAGCUGGAAAGUUGGUCAAACUCGGUCAUUUAGAGGAAGUAAAAGUCGUAACAAGGUUUCCGUAGGUGAACCUGCGGAAGGAUCAUU
rnacentral:rRNA from 1 species